UGUAUUCAACCCGCGGUCCAAGCAGAUUUGUGAAGAAAAAAGAGAGCACAGAAGGAGUACGGGCUCGCCUCCUCUCCCUCUCACCCAUGGAGUCAUCGCCGCCGCCGCCACCCACACCGGCCGCUUCCGGCGACCUCCGGCGACGCGCAACACGCCCCCGAGCUACCCACGGUCCGGGCCUCCCUCCCCUCUGGCCAGAUUCUCCGCUCCCGUCCUCUACCUCCCGCUUGCAACCCCACCCCUGUGGCUAGGGUUUCGGGCAGGGCUUCGCCGGCGCGUCUCCGGCGGCCCCAGUUAUUUGGAUCAUCAUCAUGUCGCAAGUUUCCGACAUCGCUUUACACACCGUGGACUUCACCGGAAAUCUACCUGAGGACUGAGAAUAUGACUAGGGGAAUGAUCAUAGAUGCCAACACCUACAGUAUGAUUUAUCUUGAUAGAGGUGCAGGGGAUUCGUAAGUAGUUUUAGUAUUUUUUCUAGAUUGCUCAAGUACUUGAGCUUCUGCAAUCAUGAAAAACAAAAGAAGGGACCAGUAGUCAGGUUCCAUUAAUCCUUCUGUAGGUGUUCUCUUUGAUGCCUUUCCCCCUUCAUUACCAAUACAAUGAUGCUUUCUCUGUUAAAAUCUUGACACUACAUUAUCAAUCUCAAUAGCUUAAUUGAUUCUAAGCUCACCAGAAGUAUUUGUUCACAAAUUUGGAUGAUCUAUCUCAUAUGCUUAUACUUGAACCCUCAAUAAAAUAAUAUUCUUGUGCCAGAUUUUUGCCAUUCGGUAAUAGUUAUAAUAGCAUACUUCCGCACUUAUACAGGCACGGGAAAGAAACAGAAAAUAGUUUCUUACGGGCCUCGUUCUGGACCUGUUCCCACUUAUAUAGAAUAUAUUUUCUACCGGUUUCAUCAAACAAAAAAGUCAUAAACAUUAAAUAUUUAAAGUUUUGUCUCGUUCGUACUUUCUAAAAUCUGAAAUUUUACUGAAAUCAUCAUAGAAAUUCCGCAAGAAUAUUAAAGGCACCCGUGUCAUUCAUCCCUACUAGAUGAUGAAUGCUAUUGCUAUUUUUUCUCAAAGAUGCCUCUUUUUCAUUAAGAAGAAAGCUCAAUAGACCAAAAUUCCAUAUCAUUUCUUCUUUCUUAAGGAAAACUGACUGCGGGCAGCAAUCACAGAUGUUUAGUCUAUUUUCAGUUGACAAUAUACUGAAUAAUUUGGCAGUGAACAAGUACAGAAAAUGUUGUUAAGAAGCGAUAGUUUUGAACCUGAGUUUAUAAAAGAAAUUGAACCAAUUCGUGUUGAAAAUAUCUUAGGCAUCAAGUCCACCAGGUUUGAGAUGUUCACAGAAACAUGUCAGUUUCAGGCAACUGCAAUUCAGAAUUUUUUGCCACACUGUAACGUUUCAGGCAUUCAGAAACAUUUCUCAUGAUGUUAAUAUGUUGACUAGGGGCCUUUUGUAGCUACUUUAAUGGAAAUUGUAGUACCAUAGUGUCCUGCUGCAUAUAAUAAAUUGCAAAGUGAAAGUAAAAAAAACUUAGGAUUUGGUUGUCUAUCCGAUCCAUCAGUAAACAAGCAGGGGCCAUGUUGUCAAGGAACAGAGUUCAAAAACCAUCAAUCUCAGGAACACUCUGACCAUGUAUUUGAUUCUGUUGAAGACCCAAUAUAUGAUAAGAUGCUAUUUUCAUUUGCUAGGCAACCAUGAAAAUGUUUCGGUCCAAUUCAUAAUUUAAAUCAGUCCAGUGUGUUCUUUUAUUCAGUUAUUAUAAUUUUACUCCUGUGUGUUCUUUUGUUUAGUUCUGUGAGGAGGAAGGGACUACAUCGAUGUGUAAUAUGCUCUUUGUUCUACAACCAUACCUACAUGGGAUUAUAGUUCACUUAGAAAUCUGAUAUUAUUUUCCUCUAGAAAUGAGCAUGAGCCCUCUCAAGCUCCACGGGUCCUCUGAAAUUUUUUGCCAGAGCAUGCAGCCGAACCAGGGCUGCCCGGGCUUCAGCUUCCUCCACACUGUCGGAAACUGGUAACUCACAGUAUGUCGACAAAUACACUUAGCCUCUGUAAUCCCUGGCUACUGCUCCCGCCCAUCCCGGCCACUGAUCUGCUAAAAACUUGCGUCAUUGUUCAACUAGGCUGUGCCAUGUUCCGGUGGAGUCCACUGUAUGGGUGGCAGUGAAACAGGUAUUUGCGUGGUAAACGACGGGGUCAGUUGUUCCUUUCCCUUCUCUGAACUCAUCUUUUCCAUCGCAUUGCCUAUCUCUUACUCGUACUUCUGCAGGAAGCUGAUAGAAUGUAGGACAUAUUCUUUUCCUUGACGGACUACUACAACACACGGGCAUUUUCAUGAAGAGAACAUAGGGAUUUAAAGUUUUUGUAGCCUGCACUGGAGGCUGUAGAGUUACGUUUUUGUACAUUUUGCGAAUCGUUUUGUUCCAGAUUCUCUUAGUGUAUAGUCUAACUACAUAAGGUUAUUUACUAUGUGCACAUUUGCUUUUUCCAUUGCUGAUCAUGUCCUUCUCUCUGUGCACUUACAUCCUUCUGUUAACAGUUUAGUGAUCUAUUAAUUAUUCAGAAGGGACGCUGCAUGUUCCUAGAUGCAUAGCUUUUCUUAUAUAGAUUUUCAUUACACUGAGAUUUUUUUUGAGGGGUAACAAUGGGAUUUAAGAUAGUAUAUUUUUGUAGAAUUCUCAAACUAAAAUCCGAUCAAACCGUACCUCCAAAGGCCAACAUAAUGGCACUUAAAAUAAAUGCUAAUCUGCACUCACGCUGCAAUCUGGUGCCCAUUCUUCUGGUGAUUUGGUCAAAGCUACAACCAAGCAAAGAUAUUUUACAUGCUAUAAGAAGUUAAGAACUAAGAUACGGAUUUUGUGUUCCCAGGUCUAUAAUAUGCGUGCUCAACCGGUUCCCUGCAAGCGCUUUCGGCCAUGACUUCAAGUUCUGCAGCUAGGCCGUGAAGUGUUGGUCCUUCUCACCGUCCACCGAUGAUGGUGCCCGAGAGAAGUCGGGGAAGGAGUAAAGGACGUUGAUGUCAUGGUCGUCGAAACGACUUGCCGUGGAUGCAGUCACGCACUGGAUGCCAUCGACGGCUAGCCGUGGACGAGCACCUUGCCGCCUCCGCAAAAUAUGGAUGCACGGGAUUCUGGUACUAACAUUGUGGAGUGUGAGCUGUUUCGGUGCUGUGACAUAUACACUCUGGAAGAAACCCCCGGUUUGAUGGUUUGAUUUACAGGUGAUGCUGAUUCGUUUGGGAUCUACUUCUGACAGAUCAAUUUGGUUUGUUGGCUGCUGGGUGGCUUCACACGUAUGUAAUAUAACAUGGCCCCAGAGCUACACGUAUGUACCGUAACGUUUCAUCUUUCAAUUUUGAUGUUCAAUAUGACUCCUUGAUCCCGUUUCUUAGGGUUCAUGACUGACAAUUUGUCUUGGGCUAUGGAACUAAAAUGUCUAUUGAAUGUUCAUAGAUGUCUUAAAAGGAGAACAAUUCAGACUUUAGAUGUACAUCAUAUUUGAUGCAUCAGUCUAAUCUGUACUUCAAAUUACAGUGUAUAAUUUGUUCGGACACUAUAUAUAUAUAUAUAUUUAAUGGA